CUACGGGUCGCUGCAGUAAGGAAUAUUGCGCAAUGGAGGCAACUCUGACGCAGCCAUGCCGCGUGCAGGAAGAAGGCCUUAUGGGUCGUAAACUGCUUUUAUUUAGGAAUAAACCCCCGAACGUGUUCGGGGCUGAAGGUACUAAACGAAUAAGCACCGGCUAACUCCGUGCCAGCAGCCGCGGUGAUACGGAGGGUGCAAGCGUUAUCCGGAUUUAUUGGGUUUAAAGGGUGCGCAGGCGGGCUAUUAAGUCAGUGGUGAAAUCCCGGGGCUCAACUCCGGAACUGCCAUUGAUACCGAUAGUCUUGAGUUUGGUUGAAGUGGGCGGAAUGUAGCAUGUAGCGGUGAAAUGCAUAGAUAUGCUACAGAACACCAAUCGCGAAGGCAGCUCACUAAGCCAAAACUGACGCUCAUGCACGAAAGCGUGGGGAUCAAACAGGAUUAGAUACCCCCGUAGUC
rnacentral:rRNA from 1 species